UUGAGAGCGCAUGUCAGUGCAAAAACCAAACCAUGAGGUCGAAGAAAUUGUCUGUAGAGUUUCAAGACAAGUUUGUGUGGAGGCACAGAUCUGGGUAAGGGUAGCAUUGCAGCAUUGAAGGUCUCCAAGAACAAAGUGGCCUCCAUUCUUAAAUGGCAGAAGUUUGGAACUACCAAGACUCUUCAUAGAGCUGGCCGCCCGGCCAAACUGAGCAAUCGGGGGAGUAGGGCCUUGGUCAGGUAGGUGAUCAAGAACCCCAUGGUCACUCUGACAGAGCUCCUCUGUCGGGAUGGGAGAACCUUCCAGAAGUACAACCAUCUCUGCAGCACUCCACCAAUCAGGCCUUUAUGGUAGACUGGACAGAUGAAACCCACUCCUCAGUAAAAGGCACAUAACAGUGCUCUUGGAGUUUGCCAAAAGGCACCUAAAGACUCACAGACCAUAAGAAACAAGGUUCUCUGGUGUGAUGAAACCAAGAUUGAACUCUUUGGCAUGAAUGCCAAGCGUCACGCCUGGAGGAAACCUGGCACCAUCCCUAUAGUGAAGCAUGACUGUGGCAGCAUCAUGCUGUGGGGAUGUUUUUCAGCUAAAUGGACUGAGAGACUAGUAAGGAUCGAGGCAAAGAAGAACGGAUUAAAGUACAGAAAUCCCUGAUGAAAACCUGCUCCAGAGCGCUCGGGACCUCAAACUGGGGCAAAGGUUCACCUUCCAAAAAGACAACGACCCUAAGCACACAGCCAAGACGCAGGAGCAGCUUCAAAACAAGUCUCUGAAUGUCAGAGUGGCCCACACAGAGCCCGGACUAGAUCCAUAUCGAAAAUCUCUGGAGAGACCUGAAAAUAGUUGUGCAGCGACACUCCCCAUCCAUACUGACAGAGCUUGAGAGGAUCUGCAGAGAGGAAUGGGAGAAACUCACAAAAUACAGUGCACGGUUGGUUCUACUGGUCAUACUGGGAACCUGAGCUGACUGGGGGACAUUGGGAGAAGAGAAGGGGGGACCGGAGUUCCGUUUAAGUCGGUCCCCUCAGGGGAAAGGCGAAGCCUCUAGGUCACCAGGCUGCUCGUUAUGGCGCACACCUGUCACCAUCGU